GAUGAACGCUAGCUACAGGCUUAACACAUGCAAGUCGAGGGGCAGCAUGGUCUUAGCUUGCUAAGGCCGAUGGCGACCGGCGCACGGGUGAGUAACACGUAUCCAACCUGCCGUCUACUCUUGGACAGCCUUCUGAAAGGAAGAUUAAUACAAGAUGGCAUCAUGAGUCCGCAUGUUCACAUGAUUAAAGGUAUUCCGGUAGACGAUGGGGAUGCGUUCCAUUAGAUAGUAGGCGGGGUAACGGCCCACCUAGUCUUCGAUGGAUAGGGGUUCUGAGAGGAAGGUCCCCCACAUUGGAACUGAGACACGGACCAAACUCCUACGGGAGGCAGCAGUGAGGAAUAUUGGUCAAUGGGCGCAGGCCUGAACCAGCCAAGUAGCGUGAAGGAUGACUGCCCUAUGGGUUGUAAACUUCUUUGAUAAAGGAAUAAAGUCGGGUAUGUAUACCCGUUUGCAUGUACUUUAUGAAUAAGGAUCGGCUAACUCCGUG
rnacentral:rRNA from 1 species